rnacentral:rRNA from 1 species
CGCCUCUUGCCUCCCAUAAGAGGUCCAGCCUGCCCAGUGACUCUGUUCAACGGCCGCGGUAUCCUAACCGUGCGAAGGUAGCGUAAUCACUUGUUCUUUAAAUGAGGACUAGUAUGAAUGGCCCCACGAAGGCUACGCUGUCUCCUUUUUCUAAUCAAUGAAACUAAUCUCCUCGUGAAGAAGCGAGAAUAAUUUUAUAAGACGAGAAGACCCUAUGGAGCUUUAAACAACUGAAAAAUUGCAUACUUUUAACUUCUACCUCCCGAGAUCCCCUUCUUAUUUAAGCACUUUUUUUCCCAGUUUUAGGUUGGGGUGACCACGGAGCAAAAUUUAACCUCCACGACGAAAAAGAUCCUCUUUUAGCUAAAAGCUACUCCUUUAAGCAUCAGCAAACUGACUUCUUUUGACCCAAUAAAUUGAUCAACGAACCAAGUUACCCUAGGGAUAACAGCGCAAUCUACUUUAAGAGCUCAUAUCGACAAGUAGGUUUACGACCUCGAUGUUGGAUCAGGGUAUCCUAGUGGUGCAGCCGCUACUAACGGUUCGUUUGUUCAACGAUUAAAACCCU